rnacentral:rRNA from 1 species
GUUAGGAAUAUUGGACAAUGGGCGCAAGCCUGAUCCAGCCAUGCCGCGUGAGUGAUGAAGGCCUUCAGGUUGUAAAGCUCUUUAGUCCACGAAUAUAAUGACUGUAGUGGAAGAAUAAGCCCCGGCUAACUUCGUGCCAGCAGCCGCGGUAAUACGAAGGGGGCGAGCGUUAUUCGGAAUCACUGGGCGUAAAGCGUGCGUAGGCUGUUUUGUAAGUCAGAAGUGAAAGCCCAGGGCUUAACCCUGGAAUUGCUUUUGAAACUACAAGACUCGAAUUCGGGAGAGGAUAGCGGAAUUGUCAGUGUAGCAGUGAAAUGCGUAGAUAUUGACAGGAACACCAGUGGCGCAAGCGGCUAUCUGGACCGAUAUUGACGCUGAGGCACGAAAGCGUGGGGAGCAAACAGGAUUAGAAACCCGGGUAGUCC